rnacentral:rRNA from 1 species
AUUGAACGCUGGCGGCAGGCCUAACACAUGCAAGUCGAACGAGUGGCGGACGGGUGAGUAAUGUCUGGGAAACUGCCCGAUGGAGGGGGAUAACUACUGGAAACGGUAGCUAAUACCGCAUACCAUCGGAUGUGCCCAGAUGGGAUUAGCUAGUAGGUGGGGUAACGGCUCACCUAGGCGACGAUCCCUAGCUGGUCUGCGAGGAUGACCAACCACACUGGAACGGAGACACGGUCCAGACUCGUACGGGAGGCAGCAGUGGGGAAUAUUGCAGAAUGGGCGCAAGCCGGAUGCAGCCAGGCCGCGUGUAUGAAGAAGGCCUUCGGGUUGUAAAGUACGUGCAGCGGGGAGGCGUUACCCGCAGAAGAAGCAACGGCUAACUCCGUGCCAGCAGCCGCGGUAAUAG